rnacentral:rRNA from 1 species
AGCGAACGCUGGCGGCAGGCCUAACACAUGCAAGUCGAACGCUCGUAGCAAUACGGGAGUGGCAGACGGGUGCGUAACGCGUGGGAACAUACCCUUUGGUUCGGAAUAACUCAGGGAAACUUGAGCUAAUACCGGAUAAGCCCUUACGGGGAAAGAUUUAUCGCCGAAGGAUUGGCCCGCGUCUGAUUAGCUAGUUGGUGAGGUAAUGGCUCACCAAGGCGACGAUCAGUAGCUGGUCNGAGAGGAUGAUCAGCCACACUGGGACUGAGACACGGCCCAGACUCCUACGGGAGGCAGCAGUGGGGAAUAUUGCACAAUGGGCGAAAGCCUGAUGCAGCGACGCCGCGUGAGUGAUGAAGGCCUUAGGGUUGUAAAGCUCUUUCGACGGGGACGAUAAUGACGGUACCCGUAGAAGAAGCCCCGGCUAACUUCGUGCCAGCCGCCGCGGUAAU